rnacentral:rRNA from 1 species
CCCUUAGAUGUUCUGGGCCGCACGCGCGCUACACUGACGAAUGCAACGAGCUUAUAACCUUGGCCGAAAGGUCUGGGUAAUCUCCAAAUUUCGUCGUGAUGGGGAUAGAUUAUUGCAAUUAUUAAUCUUCAACGAGGAAUGCCUAGUAAGCGCAAGUCAUCAGCUUGCGUUGAUUACGUCCCUGCCCUUUGUACACACCGCCCGUCGCACCUACCGAUUGAAUGGUCCGGUGAAAUCUCGGGACGGCGGCUCGGUCGCUUGCGUCCGACUGCUGAAACUUGAUUAAACCAUAUCAUUUAGAGGAAGGUGAAGUCGUANCA